rnacentral:rRNA from 1 species
AUUGAACGCUGGCGGCAGGCCUAACACAUGCAAGUCGAACGAGUGGCGGACGGGUGAGUAAUGUCUGGGAAACUGCCUGAUGGAGGGGGAUAACUACUGGAAACGGUAGCUAAUACCGCAUACAAUCAGAUGUGCCCAGAUGGGAUGAGCGUGUUGGUGGGGUAAAGGCGCACAAAGGAGACGAACCCUAGCUGGUCUGAGAGGAGGACCAGCCACACUGGAACUGAGACACGGUCCAGACUCCUACGGGAGGCAGCAGUGGGGAAUAUUGCACAAUGGGCGCAAUCCUGAUGCAGCCAUGCCGCUGGUAUGAAGAAGGCCUUCGGGUUGUAAAGUACUUUCAGCGGGGAGGCGUUACCCGCAGAAGAAGCACCGGCUAACUCCGUGCCAGCAGCCGCGGUAAUUC